GGGUUGUUGGAUACCUCAGAUAAUUUUUGAUAUUGAUUUGGUUCUAUAGGAGAACAAUCUUUUGGGCAAGAGGACGUUGAGUAGGGUUCUGCACACUCUGGUCCGUAGAUCAUGGUGCGGGCAGGUGAUUAAUCUAUCUGGGUUGUCAGCAAAGCGGUUGAAAAUGUGAUACUAUCGAUUGCCCCAUCACGGACGGAAAACGUGAUCAAGAUUUGGCCUAAAGUCGGAAAGAUAAUUGAUCCUGCAUCCGGGUUAAAAAGGAAUGGAAUGAAAAUCUGCUUGAAAGCACUAUCAAAAAUUUAUGAGAUAUCAUAUGAUAUAAGAUUUAUCACUCUUGGGUGGUUGGAUUUCUAUUGAUAUUUAAUGUACACAUAUAUUCUAUUUA